CAAGAGAAAAGAAAAGAAGCCAGGCAUAAGUGCUUCAUGGUGGAGUGAGAAUGGCUUGCCCUGGAAGGGUCAUGUUUUAGAAGGAGUGAUCUUCAUUGUGAAGUCUAAACUGUUCUGGAAACAUAAGCUUUGAAACCCAGUACUGAAUUCUCACAGGAAGUCUCAGAUGAAGACACUGCUAACUCCACUUUCAGAGAGAAACACUGAGGCUCGGAGCUAAACUAACUCGCCUCAGAGCCCACAUCCUGGACUUGAGCCUCAGGGUGUUGCACGCCAAAGCCUGUCCUCUUCACCCCAGCUUCCUGGGCAUUGGAGCGGAUCCAUAGUGUUAGAUAUGCAGUGGGAAUGGCCCCCAUUCCAAGCCACUUCCUGACCUGAUGGCAGCACCCUGCUAGUCCUCUCAUGGAGCCCUGGAGAAGCCGGGUUCCUUAACCCAGAUUUGAAUCAAUAGCCUCACACCUGGUAUGCACAUCCAGGCCAAGUGUGGCUGAAUGGGGAGCAUCUGUUCUGGAGACGGCCACCCUCAUGGGCUCCUCUGCUUCCUGUCCCUUCGGGCACUGAUUUAUGGCACACAGCAGGGAAGGGCCUGAGCUUGAGCCCUGACCAUCGUUAUCAUCACCAUCCUCAUUCCAGUGCAGUGAAGAACAUUCUGAAGGUAGAGGUGAAGGUCUUCUUUCUGAAUGAAGCUCCUUGCAUGAUUCAGGGAUCUUCCUCUUGAAGGCACCAAUCAUUUUGACUUUAAUGCAUGCACUCUGACUUACCUGUGGUGAUCUCUCCUGGAAAUACAUGGAAAAAUGAAAAAUAGGCUAACUGGGG
rnacentral:lncRNA from 1 species